rnacentral:rRNA from 1 species
UGGGGAAUCUUGCACAAUGGGCGAAAGCCUGACCCAGCAACGCCGCGUGAAGGAUGAAGUAUUUCGGUAUGUAAACUUCGAAAGAAUAGGAAGAAUAAAUGACGGUACUAUUUAUAAGGUCCGGCUAACUACGUGCCAGCAGCCGCGGUAAUACGUAGGGACCAAGCGUUGUUCGGAUUUACUGGGCGUAAAGGGCGCGUAGGCGGCAUGACAAGUCACUUGUGAAAUCUCUGGGCUUAACCCAGAACGGCCAAGUGAUACUGUCGCGCUAGAGUGCAGAAGGGGCAAUCGGAAUUCUUGGUGUAGCGGUGAAAUGCGUAGAUAUCAAGAGGAACACCUGAGGUGAAGACGGGUUGCUGGGCUGACACUGACGCUGAGGCGCGAAAGCCAGGGGAGCAAACGGGAUUAGAUACCCCGGUAGUCCCUGAGCGGGCUGGCAAGGCGCAU